UAAGUCCUGAAAGAAAAUCUUGUGUUGAUCAUUUUUUAUUUUGCCGUAUGAGGCUAAAAUCAUGACAGACUGACAUGGACAAUU
rnacentral:snoRNA from 1 species